UACAGAGGGGGCAAGCGUUGUUCGGAAUUACUGGGCGUAAAGGGCGCGUAGGCGGCCUUCUAAGUCGAACGUGAAAUCCCCGGGCUCAACCCGGGAACUGCGUCCGAUACUGGAAGGCUUGAAUCCGGGAGAGGGAUGUGGAAUUCCAGGUGUAGCGGUGAAAUGCGUAGAUAUCGUGAGGAACACCAGAGGCGAAGGCGGCUACCUGGACAAUUGCUGACGCUCAGGCACGAAAGCGUGGGGAGCAAAAGGG
rnacentral:rRNA from 1 species